CAAUAUUCAUAAUGUAAUAGUAUCCUGUAAACUUUGAUAAUAGUUGGUUCCACAUAUAACAUGGCUAGCAUGUUGUAGAAUGUAAAGAAUGGAUAAAAUGUUAAAUGAUAUAGAACUAGUUUUCCAAAGUAUAAGAGGCAUUAACUGUUAGGAAUGGGUUUGACUGACAAAUUCAUGAUAAAUUAAACUAAAAUCAGAAAAAAAGAGUGCUUUUUACUCUUAAAAAAAAGAAAUAGUGGCACUCCCGCUAUAAAUUAAAAUAAAUAAUUGAUUGUACUGCUAAUAUUCAAAAUUUAUUUGAGUAGAUACACUAUUCAAGGAGAAUAAUAAAUAAUAAUAAUAAAGUCUUCUAUUAUAGUGAAAAUAGUAGUAGUCUUACGAUAAGAUAAAAUUAAAAAAAAAAUUAGAAAAAAAAGGUCAUACCGCAUGAACGAUACCAGCUCCACAAGAAAGGACAACGAAUCACAGUAGCUGCUCACGAUCAGUUGAGGCCAUGGUCAUGAGAAUAAUUUAAAAAAAAAGAUUGGUGCGAGGACGCCCCACCUGCAGAAUGGCCGUGUUAACAUAUGAUAAAAAUGACAUCAUGACACCAGGGUGGCCGAGCGAGAUCAGCAUGCGCAACGACACUCUAGAUGGCUCUGGCUUACCACCGACGGGAGAGGCCUGGGCAAGGCCGAGCGAACGCGCCUGCUCUGCGACAGUACGAGCGCACCAGAGUACCAGUAAAUAUUAAAAAAUAGCACAAGCUGUACUGACGUAAUAAUAAAAGUGGUUUAUCUG